rnacentral:rRNA from 1 species
CCUACGGGAGGCAGCAGUGAGGAAUAUUGGUCAAUGGACGAGAGUCUGAACCAGCCAAGUAGCGUGAAGGAUGACUGCCCUAUGGGUUGUAAACUUCUUUUAUAAAGGAAUAAAACGAGGCACGUGUGCCUUUUUGCAUGUACUUUAUGAAUAAGGAUCGGCUAACUCCGUGCCAGCAGCCGCGGUACUACGGAGGAUCCGAGCGUUAUCCGGAUUUAUUGGGUUUAAAGGGAGCGUAGAUGGGUUGUUAAGUCAGUUGUGAAAGUUUGCGGCUCAACCGUAAAAUUGCAAUUGAUACUGGCAGUCGUGAGUACAGUUGAGGUAAGCGGAAUUCGUGGUGUAGCGGUGAAAUGCUUAGAUAUCACGAAGAACCCCGAUUGCGAAGGCAGCUUACUAAACUGUGACUGACAUUGAUGCUCGAAAGUGUGGGUAUCAAACAGGAUUAGAUACCCUAGUAGUC